rnacentral:misc_RNA from 1 species
UUUCCGUAGGUGAACCUGCGGAAGGAUCAUUAUUGUAUAACCGAGGUGCGAGGGCUGUCGCUGACCCAACAGGUCGCGCACGCACGAGUGCCCUCACACACAUCCAUCUCACCCCUAUUUGCACCACCGCGUGGGUCCCCCUUUGGCGGGUUCGGAGGGGGGCUUACGUUUUCACACAAACUUUGUAUGCAGUGUAGAAUGUAUUUUUUGUUUUUGCGAUCACGCAAUCAAUACAACUUUCAACAACGGAUCUCUUGGCUCUC